UUCUUCUAGGAUGAUAGUAAUUUGGAGGUCUAUAUUUAUUUACUCUAUUUUUAGAAAAAUUGUUUUGAUGCAGUUUUCGAAAAUCUUGCCUAGGUGGUCUAUAUGUACCAACAUUUCUUUUAAUAUUAGUUCUAGGAUAAUUAACAACUCUAGGAUUAAUAUUUCUAGGUUGUGGGUUGGUAUUUAUUUUAUUCGGCCUAGGUUGAGUCUUAGGCGGUUUAUGAAUGGACGAAACUUUUUCUUCAUUUUUAAAGCCUAUGCAAUUCUUAGUGGAUUUCAAGUUGACAAGCACAUCAUUGAGGUUUUUGUGUGAAGAAUUGAAUUUGUGCAAAGUGCUUUUAAGUCUAUCUACCUCUUCUUUUAAAGAUUUGCAGGAAGAACAACUUUUGUUUGAGCUUUCUGGUUUAUCGGCACUUCUUUUGCCGUAAAAGCAGUUUUCCUCUUUCAAUUUCUUGUUUUCAAGAAUUAAUUUUUCAAAAUCUUUUUCUUUUACGGAAUGUUGAUUUCUCAAAUCUUUUAUUAUUUUUGAAGCAUUUAUAAACUCAUCGUAAAGCUCAUCAAAAGCAUCUCGCAUUUCUUCUAAAGAAAAGAUGUUUUUGGAAGGGAUACAUACCUCGUUUUGAGAUUCUUCAUGUGCCAUUAGACACAAGUUUGCGGUCUCUUCUUCUCCGUCGCUUGACUCGUCUCCGGAGUCACCUCCCCAAGAGAUGUAUGCCCUUUGCUUCUUUUCAGGUUUCUUCUCCUUUUUGAUGUUUGGGCAAUUUGGUUUAAUAUGCCCAAGUUCUCCACAUCCGGCUUCUUUUCGGGUUUCUUCUCCUUUUUGAUGUUUGGGCAAUUUGGUUUGAUAUGCCCAAGUUCUCAACAUCCGUAGCAUUUUAGCGGUCCUCCUUGCCGCUUUCCUUUUCGUUCAUACUCCUUUCGCAUGAACUUGUGAAACUUCUUAAUAACGAGCCCGAACUCGUUAUCUUCGUCACUUGAGUCCUCAUUAAUUUGAGGUUGAGCCGUGCUAGCUUUUAAGGCAAUUUUUCUUUGCCUUUGAUCACCUACAGGAGGGUUAAGAAUAGUAGACUCAUAUGUUUUAAGGUUACCUCUUAGCCCGUCGAUUGUGACGUUUGUUACGCCGAUUGAUUCCUGGAUAGCAUCGGCCUUUGAACGCCAUUCAGGAUUAAGACUUCGGAAAAUUUUACGGACAAGAUCCCGAUCCGUAAAUGUCUUCUUGAGGGCGUGUAGAUCAAUAACGAUUUUUGAAAAUCGUUCAAACAUGUCGUCUAUUUUCUCACCUUCCUGCAUACGAAAUAGCUCAUACUCAUGGGUUAGAAAAUCAAUUUUUGCUUCUCUAACCUGGUCAGUGCCUUCGUAUGUAAUCUCCAGUUUGUCCCACAUUUGUUUGGCAGUGGAANNN
rnacentral:lncRNA from 1 species